rnacentral:sRNA from 1 species
GUCUUAUUUGCGAAUACUACAAUAAGAGUGUACAGAUCUUUAGAAUAAUGAAAAUUUAUAUUUCUCUGUUGAUUUUCAUCCACUUUGUUUCGAUAUAUCCACAAUUAAUGAAGACAACUGGAGAUCGUGCAGUGGGCAGAUUAAGAAGAAUUUAUAGUUUUUCUUUACCCUUACGUACAAGGAUACUGGAUCAAAGUGACUUAAGGGUUCCAAAUAGUUUGGACUCAAAUGACUGUUCACGGUAUUGCUCUGAACUUCGACCCCCACCUUUUUUCAACUUGGAUUUUGGACGAAGAUUCUAAGAGAAAGCAUGAUGUGUUAAGUACGGAAAACAAUACCUGACAUGUGUUUUAUUACCUUUAAUUCUAGAGUAUAAUUGCCUGCUUUUAAAAAUGAUUUCACUUUGUAAUUAGUUUAAAUAUGUCUGAAGAGCAAUUUGACAAGCACAUAAUAAUAAAAGCUGGAUAUUU